ACCCUGGGCUCAAGCCAUCCGCCUGCCUCGGCCUCCCAGGAUUGCAGGGGUGAGCCAUCAUGCCCAGACUACUUUUUCUUUUCACAUUUGCUGAUUUUGUCCCAUCCUUCUUUUUGAUGCUGCAACAAAAAAAAAAUGAAAAUGUUAAAUAUUAAAUAUCUUCUGUAGAAGAUACUUUAUUAAAAUUCUAUUUCAGUACUAUCCAGUAGAAAAAUAAAUGCAAGUCAUAUAUAUAAUUGUAAAUUUUCUAGUAGCCAUAUUAAAAAUAGCUUUAAAAACCCAGAUGAAAUUAAUGUUAACAUUUUAUUUAAGCGAGUGUAUUCAAAAGGCUGUGUCAGCAUGUAAUCAAUAUUAAAAAAUAUUGAGAUGCCUUACGUUCUUUUUUUCAUUUGAAAUCUGGUGUGUAUUUUACAUUUACUGUACAUCCCAGUUUUGGCCAGCCACAUCUCAAGAACUACAUAUAAAAUCACUACUUCCAAAUAUUGAGUGAUUUUACUAGUGUCUUUAUAUUGGAAAAACCACAUCUAGACGUUCUUAACUAGCGAUGCAUGUUAACAAUUACCUGGAAGCUUUUCCUAAAUACACAUUUCUGCCUGUACCCCUCACUAGAUCUGUUAAGGUAAAAAUCUCUGUUCUGUGUGAGCCUGGGCAUGUGUCUUGAGAAGGAUACAUAGGUGAUACUGACAAGUACAUUUAACUAAGAAGGUCCAACUUCUUUGUUCUACCUAUGAUGAAACAUAUCCUGUUUCAUCAUAGGUAGAACAAAGCUUUCCCACAGAGAGUAAUGAUACAGACCUGAGUAUUCCAUCCACAAAUCUCGUGUCAUUUUUGUCUUAUCAUUUCUAAUAUACAGGAUAGGAAUGCAGACUACUAUUAUACACAGAUUUGUUCAACAGCAAGAGUCAGCAACAAAGCGAUUUUCGAGUUAAUUUUUAGAUUGUCAGGAAAUUAAAUGUGAAAUAUACCUGCACGUGUGUGCACGAGCGCAUCACACACACGGGCACACACACACACACACACACUGUCUAAAUAGUCUUGUUAAAUGACAUUUCAUUGUGAUGGGUAUGACUGCAUAGAUUUUAUAUGUAUUCCCAUUUUCCUGAUACCUUUUAGACUCACCUCAUAUAUUAUACUUUCCUGAAACUGCUUUUAAAAAUCUAUACCAAAAUAGAUACCCAGGGCCAUUAUAAUUAUUUUAGUAUAUCUCUGAACAUCAUGACCGAAUACAAAACUUUUUCAGCCUGUCAGUUUUCAAAGUGUCAACUCUGGAUUUUUCAGGUUAAAAUUUCAUAUUUUUAAACUGAUAACAAGGCUGCCAGAUAUCAGCAGGCAGUGUGGUUGACUACUCUGUAAUUUUAUGGGAAUUUUUUAUAGGUGAAUCACAAUGGCUUGCUUCUCUCUUUCACAUAGUGCUGACAAGGACAACACAUGUGCUAUACUGAAAGAUAGUAAGUCUCAAAAAGGUCAUCCAAAGGUAAUUUGAGGAUUAUUUUCGAUGAGUUGGAGAUAUGAAUAAAAAUGUUUGCUCUUUAACAAUUUUGUAUGAAGUGAGCAAACUUAGAUUAUCUAGUUUUAUUUAAUGCAAGUGAAUUUAACAAUUAAAUUAUUUUCAUAGCUCUUUAAUCCAUAUCCUUAUUAAAAAUCAACUUAAGUCUACAGAAGUCACAAGUAAUUAACAAGGCAUGUUAAAUAAAAUAAUGGUAUCUGUAAUAGCCUACAAACAACUACUAGACUUUAAAUUUUUUAAAAAGCAUUUUAAAGGUCCAAAUUGUUUAAACAGAUUAUUUAGCAGUGAUCAGGAUGGUUAUAUGACACCCACUUGAAAGAAGCUUCAAUGUAGAUUUUCUAGACUAAUUGUCUUUUUACAAAUGGAAGAUUCUGAGACAUCCGAAGAGAUGAAGGGAUUAACUUCAGUCACACAAAGAUUCCCUGCCAGUGCUAUUUUACCACUGUCUUCUGACUCACUUCAGUUGGCUUUUUUUUUUAAUCAGCUAACGGUGACUUUCUUUUGCUAGAAUGUAACAGCAUAUUAAGGUGUAGUGAUUUGCUAUAAUGAAGUGAUUUAAAAUAUUUUGACACAUGUCUAUUGGACAUAUCAAUAAAACAGAACAAAGACAAUAGCAGCAUUACUUCAGUGCUUCAGAGUCCCACGUGCAUUUCCUUCCAUGUGUCUACCAUAGGGCAUUAAAGCGCAUGAGCAUUUCUUCUAAAAUAGGUUUCCUAACUGAGUACAAGAUCCACAUUUUAAAAAAUACCUUUUGUGGAAAAUACUAAAACUUGGAGCCACAGCCUUAUUUCUCUCUCUUAACAUAGUUGCUCACUUCGUGGGGGAAAAAAAGUCCACUUUGGACAAGUGGAUGUAAUUGUAUAUGUAAUGCACUGGGAAGUAUGAGUUACUAUUGAUUAACUCGUAUUAAAUAUCUGAGAAAAAUGUAUGUAUUAUAAUUUUAAGCUGAUGAGAUGAUAAAUAGAAAAAGCCCUUAUUUGGAGUUCUCUGAUGUAUUCUUAGUGUUCAAGACCCUUAAAACAAAAAAUAUGAUUUCUCAUUUUACAUUCUUCUCCUUUCUAGUGUUUUUUUUUCUUCUUAUAUAGAACAGUGAUUUUAUUGUAGAAUUAAAACUGAUAAACCUGAUCCUCAGCUCUGUGCUAUUUUGGUUACCCCAUGAGGCGCUGCUCCCCAUAAACCUGAGAGUUCGUUAGAAGGUACCUAGUUCAGAAGAUUAUCAGCUUUAAGCAAUUGCCAUCCAAGAGAGUAAAGAACUACUCUGGAAGCUGGCAAGAAAAAAAGGAGUUGUUAUUUCUAUGCCAAUGUUUCUAGAACUGGUUAGGCAAUGAGAUAGUAGUCCUUAAUACAAUUGAGCUGUGAUGUAUAAUACCAAUAGUCAUACACAGUUUCAGACUCGGAUUGAUAUUUUUGCAAUCAAAUAAAGGAGGCUGUUUUCACACAUCCUAAAAAAACUAUGAUUUGAUAGCCACAUAGAGAUUAUUUCUUAGUAAUUUUUGAAGGCCUGCUAACCAAAACAUUGUAAUAAAAUUCACUCUUAUGAAAUUAAGAGUUAAAUCACAAAAAUACAACUGUUCAGAUAAAUAUUCAAGCAUUGACAGGUGUACAGCACCUCCGUUCUGUUUGCUGGCCAUUAUGUUUUUACCAGCUUUGGUUUUGAAAGUCCCAUCUUUCACCUUGAUUGAAUUACAUGAACAUCCUUUCCUAUUAUUACUCCAAAAGAGUCCUCAUAAUUUUUUAUAGCACCUUUGAUUUUAGACUGAAGGCUUUUAGAUAGACUUAAAUAGAUUCUUCUACUAUAUGUUUCUGAAAUGUUGACCCCUGUACUUUACUAAUGUACAUUUCACUUUAUAAGGUUAAUGUAAGGGCUUUUCUAUGGCUCCAGGCAAACCUCAAAGAAUCUCUGGUUUGCAAAAAAGAUCAAGAUGCCUCUGGAAAUAAAUAUGACCCAAUGGUGUUACUAUUUUUU